rnacentral:rRNA from 1 species
GGACUACCCGGGUAUCUAAUCCUGUUUGCUACCCACACUUUCGCGCCUCAGCGUCAGUUACUGUCCAGGUGGCCGCCUUCGCCACUGGUGUUCCUCCUCAUCUCUACGCAUUUCACCGCUACACGAGGAAUUCCACCACCCUCUCCAGCACUCUAGCCUCCCAGUCUCAGAUGCAGUUCCCAAGUUGAGCUCGGGGAUUACACAUCUGACUUAAAAAGCCGCCUACGCGCCCUUUACGCCCAAUAAUUCCGAAUAACGCUUGCCCCCUCUGUAUUACCGCGGCUGCUGGCAC